GACGAACGCUGGCGGCGUGCCUAAUACAUGCAAGUUGAGCGAUGAAGAUUGGUGCUUGCCCCAAUUUGAAGAGCAGCGAACGGGUGAGUAACGCGUGGGGAAUCUGCCUUUGAGCGGGGGACAACAUUUGGAAACGAAUGCUAACACCGCAUAAUAACUUUAAACAUAAGUUUUAAGUUUGAAAGAUGCAAUUGCAUCACUCAAAGAUGAUCCCGCGUUGUAUUAGCUAGUUGGUGAGGUAAAGGCUCACCAAGGCGAUGAUACAUAGCCGACCUGAGAGGGUGAUCGGCCACAUUGGGACUGAGACACGGCCCAAACUCCUACGGGAGGCAGCAGUAGGGAAUCUUCGGCAAUGGACGAAAGUCUGACCGAGCAACGCCGCGUGAGUGAAGAAGGUUUUCGGAUCGUAAAACUCUGUUGGUAGAGAAGAACGUUGGUGAGAGUGGAAAGCUCAUCAAGUGACGGUAACUACCCAGAAAGGGACGGCUAACUACGUG
rnacentral:rRNA from 1 species